UAACUUCGGGAGAAGGCACGCUGGUGUGUAGGUGAAGCCCCUGCGGGUGGAGCUGAGACCAGUCGAAGAUACCAGCUGGCUGCAACUGUUUAUUAAAAACACAGCACUGUGCAAACACGAAAGUGGACGUAUACGGUGUGACGCCUGCCCGGUGCCGGAAGGUUAAUUGAUGGGGUUAUCCGUAAGGAGAAGCUCUUGAUCGAAGCCCCGGUAAACGGCGGCCGUAACUAUAACGGUCCUAAGGUAGCGAAAUUCCUUGUCGGGUAAGUUCCGACCUGCACGAAUGGCGUAAUGAUGGCCAGGCUGUCUCCACCCGAGACUCAGUGAAAUUGAACUCGCUGUGAAGAUGCAGUGUACCCGCGGCAAGACGGAAAGACCCCGUGAACCUUUACUAUAGCUUGACACUGAACAUUGAGCCUUGAUGUGUAGGAUAGGUGGGAGGCUUUGAAGCGUGGACGCCAGUCUGCGUGGAGCCAACCUUGAAAUACCACCCUUUAAUGUUUGAUGUUCUAACGUUGGCCCCUUACCGGGGUUGCGGACAGUGUCUGGUGGGUAGUUUGACUGGGGCGGUCUCCUCCCAAAGCGUAACGGAGGAGCACGAAGGUUAGCUAAUCCUGGUCGGACAUCAGGAGGUUAGUGCAAUGGCAUAAGCUAGCUUGACUGCGAGCGUGACGGCGCGAGCAGGUGCGAAAGCAGGUCAUAGUGAUCCGGUGGUUCUGAAUGGAAGGGCCAUCGCUCAACGGAUAAAAGGUACUCCGGGGAUAACAGGCUGAUACCGCCCAAGAGUUCAUAUCGACGGCGGUGUUUGGCACCUCGAUGUCGGCUCAUCACAUCCUGGGGCUGAAGUAGGUCCCAAGGGUAUGGCUGUUCGCCAUUUAAAGUGGUACGCGAGCUGGGUUUAGAACGUCGUGAGACAGUUCGGUCCCUAUCUGCCGUGGGCGCUGGAGAAUUGAGGGGGGCUGCUCCUAGUACGAGAGGACCGGAGUGGACGCAUCACUGGUGUUCGGGUUGUCAUGCCAAUGGCACUGCCCGGUAGCUAAAUGCGGAAGAGAUAAGUGCUGAAAGCAUCUAAGCACGAAACUUGCCCCGAGAUGAGUUCUCCCUGAGACUUUAAGUCUCCUGAAGGAACGUUAAAGACGAUGACGUUGAUAGGCCGGGUGUGUAAGCGCAGCGAUGCGUUGAGCUAACCGGUACUAAUGAACCGUGAGGCUUAACCUUACAACGCCGAAG
rnacentral:rRNA from 1 species